AAAUGCACGCCAAAGACGCAUACACAUACAAAGUAGAGUAGGCAUGAUCCGUUGCCCAACCUAUUGCCGUCUUCUUAAAAAUCAUACAAGUGAACAUUGACGCCAUAAAUAGCUUACAAGUGUUCAUGACUUGAAAGCCGCGACUUCGUUCUGGAAUCAGAAAAUUGACGUACUUAAGUUCUCCACAUCUAGAAACAUGAGCACAUCCAUCGCAAGCCUUGUUAUUCUUAAUUUCAUCUUAUCUACCUUAACAGGGCUGAUUCGGGGAGCCGGUGGCAACGAUAACGUUGUUGGAAGAGGCUGUGAAUCAAGCGUCGACUGUGGGGACUUUACGAGAUACUGCUGUGUGAUAACAAAUCCAAGAGCGCUAAGAGGCACGUGUCAGCCGCGAGGGGUAGAAGGACAGAGAUGCAGCAAUAACCUUGUAAGAAGCAGGGUGAAUAACAACCUGUACGCCCCAUACCUUUACGUGUGCGCCUGUCAGCAACCAAGAUAUGCAUGCCACCACAAGCAUGGCCGAGACCCUAUUGGCGUCUGCCAAUUCUACACUAACGCCAGACCUGGUGGCUGAAUUGAGGGCUUGGCAGAUCGAGAAACGCGAAUAAAGAGCUCUUGACGAGAUAAGUUG